CCUACGGGGGGCAGCAGUGGGGAAUAUUGCACAAUGGGGGAAACCCUGAUGCAGCAACGCCGCGUGAAGGAAGACGGUUUUCGGAUUGUAAACUUCUGUUCUUAGUGAAGAAGAAUGACGGUAGCUAAGGAGCAAGCCACGGCUAACUACGUGCCAGCAGCCGCGGUAAUACGUAGGGAGCAAGCGUUAUCCGGAUUUACUGGGUGUAAAGGGCGCGUAGGCGGGAUGGCAAGUCAGAUGUGAAAUCCAGGGGCUCAACCCCUGAACUGCAUUUGAAACUGUCGUUCUUGAGUACUGGAGAGGUU
rnacentral:rRNA from 1 species